UGUACCUUGAAAUCUACAAACAUUGAUCAAAAUGAUUAAAAACAUAUAAAUACACAUACAAUCCAUACUGAUUGGAAAAAUUAGUAUUGCUCAAUGAUUAUAUAACCGAAUGUGAUUUAGAUUCAACACAAUACUCAUAGAAAUCCCCAUAACUUUUUGUUAAAGAAACAAAAAACAGGCCAGUCACGGUGGCUCACGCCCAUAAUCUCAGCACUUCGGGAGGUAGAGGUGGGUGAAUCAUAAGAUCAGAAAAUCGAGACCAUCCAGGCUAACACAGCGAAACCCAGUCUCUACUAAAAAUACAAAAAAUUAUCCAGGUGUGGUGGCAUGCACCUGUAGUCCCAGCUAGUCAGGAGACUGAGGCAGGAGGAUCGCUUGAACCUGGGAGGCGGAGGUUGUAGUGAGUCAAGAUCAUGCCACUGCACUCCAACCUGGAUGACAGAGCAAGAGACUCCAUCUCAAAAACAAAAACAAAAAAAAGAAAAAAGAAAGAAAGAAUAGAAAUGAAAACACAGGCUGGGAAAAGUGGCUCCCGUCUGUUGGCCAGGCUGUUCUCAAACUCUUAACCUCCAGUGACCUACCAGUCUUGGCCUCUCAAAGUGCUGGCAUUGCAGGCGUGAGCCACAGUGCCCAGCCCAGUCCUCUUAACAUAAACAGUUUAAUGUCAAUUAAUGCUUAAACUCAAUGUUAAGUCAACUCAAACUCAGGUCAGUGCUCAUUUAACUGUAAUGUCAAUUAAUGCUUGAUGGCUUGCUAUACUAAUGGCAUUUGAAACAACUGUCUCCAAAAGGAAUUGUCUGAUGGUCUGCAAGGAGUGAUCUCGGACUGAAGACCUUACCACACUGAUGACAUUUGUAAGAUUUCUGUCCAGCAUGGAUUCUCUGAUGUCUAUUGAGGUGUGAAUGUGAAGUAAACGCUUUGCCACAAUCAUCACACUUGUGAGUUUCUCUCCUGUGUGAAUGUGAAGUAAACGCUUUGCCACAAUCAUCACACUUGUGAGGUUUCUCUCCUGUAUGAAUCCUCCUAUGUUUUGCAUAGGAUGAAGCUUGACUGAAGACCUUGCCUCAAUCAUGACAUUUAUAAGGUUUCUCUCCAGCAUGAGUUCACCAGUGAAAUGCAAGGCAUGAACGAUGUCUGAAAAAUUUGCCACAUUUAUUACACUUGUAAGAUCUCUUCACUGUGGAUUCUCCAAUGAUGUGCAAUGGUUGUAGCAUUACUGAAAACUUUGUGACAAUCAUUACAUUAGUCAAGUUUCCCUAUACCAUGGAUUGCUUGAUGGUGAAUAAGUGGUGACUGCCCACUAAAGGGUUUGCCACACUCAUUGCACUUGUAAGGUUUCUCUCCAGUGUGAAUUCUAGUAUGGGGUGCCACGUGUGAAUCAUUCCCGAAAGCCUUGUCACAAACCUUACAUUUCUAUGGCUUUUCUCCAGUGUGAAUUCUCCUAUGUAUUUGAAGCUGGAUUUGUGAAUGAAAACUUUGUCACAUUGUUCACGUUUGUAAGAUUUCUAUGCAGUAUGAAGUCUAUGAUGACUUGCAAGGUGUGAUUGUUGAUUAAAAACCA
rnacentral:lncRNA from 1 species